rnacentral:rRNA from 1 species
GAGUUUGAUCAUGGCUCAGGACGAACGCUGGCGGCGUGCUUAACACAUGCAAGUCGUACGGUAAGGCCCCUUCGGGGGUACACGAGUGGCGAACGGGUGAGUAACACGUGGGUAAUCUGCCCUGCACUUCGGGAUAAGCCUGGGAAACUGGGUCUAAUACCGGAUAUGAACUCCUGCCGCAUGGUGGGGGUUGGAAAGUUUUUUGGUGCAGGAUGAGCCCGCGGCCUAUCAGCUUGUUGGUGGGGUAAUGGCCUACCAAGGCGACGACGGGUAGCCGGCCUGAGAGGGUGAUCGGCCACACUGGGACUGAGACACGGCCCAGACUCCUACGGGAGGCAGCAGUGGGGAAUAUUGCACAAUGGGCGAAAGCCAGAUGCAGCGACGCCGCGUGGGGGAUGACGGUCUUCGGAUUGUAAACCCCUUUCAGUAGGGACGAAGCGCAAGUGACGGUACCUGCAGAAGAAGCACCGGCUAACUACGUGCCAGCAGCCGCGGUAAUACGUAGGGUGCGAGCGUUGUCCGGAAUUACU